CGUAGGGUGCGAGCGUUAAUCGGAAUUACUGGGCGUAAAGCGUGCGCAGACGGUUUAGUAAGACAGGCGUGAAAUCCCCGGGCUCAACCUGGGAACUGCGCUUGUGACUGCUAAGCUAGAGUACGGCAGAGGGGGUGGAAUUCCACGUGUAGCAGUGAAAUGCGUAGAGAUGUGGAGGAACACCAAUGGCGAAGGCAGCCCCCUGGGUCGAUACUGACGCUCAUGCACGAAAGCGUGGGUAGCAAACAGGAUUAGAUACCCUGGUAGUCCACGCCCUAAACGAUGUCAACUAGGUGUUGGGAGGGUAAAACCUUUUAGUACCGGAGCUAACGCGUGAAGUUGACCGCCUGGGGAGUACGGCCGCAAGGUUA
rnacentral:rRNA from 1 species